rnacentral:lncRNA from 1 species
ACAGAGUCCGCGUUUUUCUGAGCAUCAUGUAACCAACAGAUGGUGUUUCUCAGCCUCCUUUGUAGCUAGGUGGGGCUAUGCCUAUAGUUCUGACCAAUGAGAUAUACAUUAAAGAACAGAUGGGACUUUGGGGAAAAUCUUUUGAGAAAUGAAGGCUAUUCCUCUUUCUCCCUCCUUUCUCCAUCCAGCUGCUUAAAUUCUGAGUGAGAUGGCUGAAGCUUGAGAUGUCCUCUUAGAACACUGAGAAGACAUGUUAAACAGAGACCCAUCUCUGAUAUCAGCAGUGCCUCAGUCUUCAAGUCUUCAUUUGGACACGGUCUUCUCUUCUUCAGGGACACAGCGUAAGAGAUACAGCAGAGCUUUUCUUCUGGGGCCUGAACUGUGUGAAUCACAGCAGCAGAUGGGGAACAUUGUGAGUUGUCCAGUGCCAUCCCUGAGCACUUGUCUCCUCAGGGACAGAGUGUCUGUGUGAUUUUCACUAAAUUCAUCAUUUUGGGUUUCUGGUUUAUGGGUCCCUGUAAGAUGUAGGAAUAAGGAAUAAUAACCCCUUAUCUGGGUUAGAAGGUGGGGCCACCUCUCUGGAGCAUGACCUUUUAAAUUUUGUCUGUUUGGUCACUUUCACUGUUAGCUCUAGUUCAGAGUUUAUAAUCCAGGAAGCUUCCAAGAACAUGAAAUUCCUUCAAUUCCUUUCCACAGUAAAUUAUGGCCCAGUUCAGGUUCAGAAGUUGAGGGGCUGUCAAUUUUUUCCCUGUAGUGCUUAGUCCAACAAAUGCAGUCCAAUGGUGGGAUUUGUCUGGGUAAAACAUGGAGGAGCUCCAGCAUCUGGAAAUGUGAUCAUACUUGUACUCACAAUGUUUCCUGACCUUUAGAUUUGAGUGAUAGUUUUGGUUCAUCGAAUUUUCUUAGUUAUUUAAGGGGGGAAAGGAGGCUUGUUUAACCAAGAGGAACCCUCGUAUCAAUGAGCUUAGACAACCUCCAAAAGAUGAGGUCUCCAUUUACAUUUACUUUCUAGAAAUUUCCUCUCCAUAUCUGAGAAUUGUAGUUAGAAUUCAGUCUAGAGAUGAUUCAAGAUACCUACCUCCUAUUGGAAAUUGUUUAGAAAUAUCCUCUGAUUCACUGUAUGCAAUUUGUACUUCAUAAUCAUAAUUAUUUUAAUUAAUACCCAUUUCUUUGUGGAAAG